rnacentral:rRNA from 1 species
UUGGAGGGCAAGUCUGGUGCCAGCAGCCGCGGUAAUUCCAGCUCCAAUAGCGUAUAUUAAAGUUGUUGCAGUUAAAAAGCUCGUAGUUGAAUUUCGGGGUUAGUAGGUUGGUCAUGCCUCUGGUAUGUACUGGUCUCACUGAUUCCUCCUUCCUUAUGAACCGUAAUGCCAUUAAUUUGGUGUUGCGGGGAAUUUGGACUGUUACUUUGAAAAAAUUAGAGUGUUUAAAGCAAGCUAACGCUUGAAUACAUUAGCAUGGAAUAAUGAAAUAGGACGUUCGAUCUUAUUUUGUUGAUUUCUAGGAUUGACGUAAUGAUUAAUAGGGAUAGUUGGGGGCAUUAGUAUUCAAUUGUCAGAGGUGAAAUUCUUGGAUUUAUUGAAGACUAACUACUGCGAAAGCAUUUGCCAAGGGUGUUUUCAUUAAUCAAGAACGAAAGUUAGGGGAUCGAAGACGAUCAGAUACCGUCGUAGUCUUAACCAUAAACUAUGCCGACUAGGGAUCGGAUGAUGUUAAUUUUUUAAUGACUCAUUCGGCGCCUUACGGGAAAC